UUGUGUGCCCCCCCUCCUCACAUAUAUUUGACGAAAAAGGCCGAAUCGGGAUACAAGUAAACUACCCUAAACCUCCUACAACUUAAAUAUUUGCGUAUAGAAGUAGGAAGUACAGGAACACCUGGAGAAUGUAAGCCAGGAGAUCCAUUACUUCCAGUUCCUGAGGAUUGUCAUGCAUACAUGGAAUGCGAACCAAUGGAUGCCGGUUCCUUCCAUUAUGCUGAACAUCGUUGCACUGAUGGUCUUGCCUUCAAUCCAACUAUUCAGGCAAAAUCAAGGAUCUAUAAUAUUUUAGAACAAAACAUAACAAUAUUUGCACAAAUGCAAGAUUUAAAUUUUACAUUCUAUCUGAAAUGCAUUUAUAUAUUUGCUCACAAGAUUGUACCAGGAAUUUUGCGUUAUCGGAAAACAAGAAUGCUAAGAAUUUAUUUUUGUCUUUUUGAAAAAAUAAAAGUUGACUCUGGAUUUUUAACACUCAUUUAUAACGAAUAUUCAAGUAAAUGUCAAGCAACCCGGUGUCAUGUAACCUUACAUUUCAAAGAGUAUAGGAAUUGAGGUUUUGCCUUCUCUAACCACUAUAUCUUUGCAACCUGAUGACAUAAAUCUUUAAUAUUUUAAAUUUAGAUUAUUUGAUCAAACAUGAUUCAUAGUAUAAAAUAUGACAUUGGGUAGCAAAUAUAUAGGGAUUAAUAAGUAAGAAUUUGUGACAGAGACUCAAUUCCACUGAUUCUUUGAUGUAAAAAUCCGCAUUAACUUUCUGAAAAGGUACUCAUCAAAUAAAGUGUCACUUCCAACUACUCUGAUAGUCCCUUUAAACCUGAACAUGUGAUUAUAAAUCUUGACAUUUUCAUUGCCAGGGCUGUGAUUGGCCGUAAAACUUUUGUGUUUUAUCAGCGAAAUAUGUUUAUAGUGAAAAAAAUAAACAAAUUAUAAAUUUUUA